rnacentral:lncRNA from 1 species
ACAGAGAUCUAACAUCCAAUUUAUUAAGGCUUCGAUUGGGAUUGCGGUGAGAUUGCAUUACGUGUGGUGAGAAAGUACGUUGGAAAAAUACCUAUUUAUUUUCUUACGUAAUAUUGUGUUUCGCAUAUCUUGAUGAGUCGGUUAUAAUAUAUUUUCUGUGGUCCCACCGGAGAACUCAGAAACAUAUCUCUAUAUGCUUUUUUCAUAACUCCAUUUUAUCUAAUAGCGUUAAAUAGAUCUCAAUACCAAACUAAGCCUAAAUGUGUUUAGCCAUAUCUAAAGUGUAGUUACGUAGACCUAAUCAGUACAAGUCAAUCAGUAACACUUUAUACGAUUGAUUUAAGAAAUUAUUAUACUUAUAAACUUUUUUAAUAAUACAGAUUAUAUCUAUCGAAUUAAAUUUUAAUUUUAAAUUAUUAAUUAAUUAUAAAAAAUAUCUAUCAAAUUAAAUUUUAAUUUUAAAUUAUUAAUUAAUUAUAAAAAAAUAUAAAUAAAACAAUAGAGUCACCUUGUGGUCCUAACAACAACAGCAACAAUAACAAUAACAAUAACCACACAUAGACCGACCGUCCCUAGAGCAAGUGGCAAAGGACUUGGUGGUUGGUAUCCGAGAUUCAAGUUCGAAUCUUAGUUGAUUCACAUUUUCAGCUAAAUUUAUUUCUAAAUGAAAUAAACGAAGCGGGUAGCGUGCUACCUAUCUCUCUCUAAAAAUAACCACACAUAGUUGAGUGUUGCCUCCAUGCAAUCCUCAUUAAAAAAUAAAAAAAAGUAAAAAUGGAAUUUUUUUUUAAAAUUCGUUCAUCAGUGAUCUAACUAAAUUUAAUAAGACAAAACUUUUUGCUCUAAUUAAGCAUAAAAACUCAAGUAAAAAACUUUAGAAAAAUAAAUGUUCUCUAAAAUGAGCAUACAAUUCGUUUCGUUUAUUUCUUAAAAAAUAAACGUAGUUGAAAAUAUGAAUCAAUUAGAUUUCGAAUUUGAGAUCUCCGAUACUGCAACCAUUAAGCCCUCUGCCAUUUUCGUUGGUAAUGAUAAAAAAAAUAAUUAAAGAGAAUAUUUUAAAACAAUCUACAAGAA